rnacentral:rRNA from 1 species
UACGAAGGGUGCAAGCGUUACUCGGAAUUACUGGGCGUAAAGCGUGCGUAGGCGGUUUGUUAAGUCUGCUGUGAAAGCCCCGGGCUCAACCUGGGAACGGCAGUGGAUACUGGCAAGCUAGAGUGUGUCAGAGGAUGGUGGAAUUCCCGGUGUAGCGGUUGAAUGCGUAGAGAUCGGGGGGAACAUCAGUGGCGAAGGCGGCCAUCUGGGACAACACUGACGCUGAGGCACGAAUGCGUGGGGAGCAAACAGG